ensembl:lncRNA
GGCUGUUUACCAGCUCACAGCUCAAAACAAGAGCACGACUGAGGUGUGUUUGGAGAGCAGUGUGGCUCGACUUACCACAGGCUUUUCCAUUUAAACAGAUCGUUUCGUUUCGUAAUAAAAAAAAAAAUUCUUCCUCUUGUUGAAAACAUCAACGAAUGAAAAUGUUUCAACUGCUGUACUUUGUGUUUCUGCUGAGCUCUGGUUUGGUGGACUGUUGGUCUGUUGUUGAAGAGUGUAUAACAUCUAAUGGAGAGGACUAUAGGGGAAUUCAACAGACGACAUCCACAGGGAAUAUCUGCCUCAACUGGAAGAGUCUGAACUCACAGACAGAUGUUGGAGAUCACAAUUUCUGCCGCAACCCAGAUGCUUCAGAGAAGCCCUGGUGCUAUGUCUCCGGGUCCGAUGGAGCGACCAGAAAAGAAGCAUGUGAUAUUAGGACAUGCCAAGACCAAAACUCCACAGAAGCCACUGCUCCAGAAGAGUCGGUCCCCACUCAGGGACUCACCCCAAGGAUGGUGGAGACCUUCGAAAACACUGACUCCUUCCCCUCGCAGGUGGAGGGUGCGGCGGUGCAGCCCGUGAAGGGAGUCCGACAGCAGGUCAGGAGUGGACCCAAGAAGAAGAAAGACCUUGGGACUCUCGGUAAGUGUUGAGUUGUCUAAAACACCAAACCACAUCCAAGAACCGAGAAGUUCAUGGGUAUAUUGGUUGUCUUUGCUACCUUGGCAGGUUAUGUUCUGGCCGUCUUCAUGAUGGCCAUUAUCAUCCUACUUGGAGGUGGCAUCACAAUAGGAUACUUCUACAAACGGUCAGUACAACCUGCAACACAAUGUCCCAUUACAGUGUGCACAUAAGAAUGGAUAUCAAUAGAAAAGCACAACAGACAAAAUCCAGGCACUUCAGUUCUUCAGAUUGAAGAGACUUGUGGAGACGCUGGUUUUGAUCUACUCCGAGUCGCUUGAACAGAGUUAAAGGAUGUCGCGGGCUUUAGCUGGAAACACAUAGCAGGUUCAUAUAACACUGUCAUUUUAAUGCCAUUAGACACAUGAGAGAGAGAUGGUGAGUGGGUGCAGAUAUUGGAGGCAUCUUGGCUGUCUAUAUUUAGGAGGUUGUUUUGACAUUUCGAAGUGGGUGUUGAGUUUGGGAAGGACCAGAAGGAAUCUGAAAGCUGAUAUCAAUAGAGGUAUCAGUUGUUUUGUACAUUUACAAUCACUCAGAUUAGUUGCCAUUUCUGGUGAUAUGACAAUAUGUUUUAUGUGAUAAUAGAUGACAGUAAAAAUCUUGUAAAGAGUUUAGAGGGGCACUCAGUAGCCUUGGGCAGCAUGUACUCCUGUGUCAGCUGAUAAUGUGUGCAUGUCAUCGUUUAUCUAGCGAUUAAUUGGCUCAGUAUUAAUAAGCAGGGGCAGGAUGUUGGGCUGAGAGGAGGGUUAACCUAUAAUACUAGGACAAUGUCACCCACAGGAAGCAUGUUAUGAUGUUAUAGCACAUGGAUCGCAAACUUUUCAACCAAAUACUUUAGUCCUUGCAAGAGCAGUAGUGCUCGGUUCAGUUGUGAUAGAGCAGGGCUCACUGCAGACACACAGGCAGGAAAGUGCUGGGUAAGUGUAGGAGGAUUGCAUAACAAGUAUGCCAUGCACAGUCUGAAUGUCUAGGGAUGGAGUGAAAGGAAGGAUAAGACAGGGGUAUGUUUAGUAAUAUGAGAUUUCUCCAGCAUUCAACUCCCAUUUUCAAGAAACGGUAAAGGAUAGUGAUCGAGAUCAGUUUCUUGCUUGGCAGCGAGUGACGAAUUAGUGCUGGGUCCUCUCCACCUAAGCAUUUAUAUCUCAACGCUAAAAAUAGACAAUACUGGAGACAAAUCACUCCUUCUGUCUGUAGUGGGUCACUGUUAAAUAUUACAGUCUAGCUUGAAUGGAUAUAUUAGAAAUGGAAAUAAUAUUCAGAAUAUUUAGAGGAAAUGAAGUGGAAACAUUUUCUUUUUGAUUAUGUAAUUCAGAGUGGUUCUUCGAGUCUGUGUUUCCGAGACAGAAAGAAUGAAUUUGGAAAACUCUCUUUGGAAGAGUUAAUUGGGAACCUUGGACUUUGGUUGAGUUUAACAAACUAGGUCUUUAUGGUUAAAGUACUAUCAUCUUUCAUCUAAGAUCAUGAAAACAUAACACAUAAUUUCCAUUAAUUUCUACAGGGGUCAGGCACAAAGGAUUUGAUGUGAGAAUGCAUAAAAUUAUAGUGUAACAGUUCACUUUUGUUUUUCAGGUCACAAACUUAAGAAUCAUUACACUUUUAGUCAAGCUUUUGAUUAAAUACGAUUUUAAUUAUUUCGAUGGUCAAAAGCCUGUCUAGUACCAAGUCACUUUAUUUUCUUCAUCCAAUUCAAAAUAUUAAGUUACUAAAGUCAUACAGUGUACAUUUUGAAAAUAUGCAUAUAUUUAUUUACGAAAAUCCAGACAAACAUGAUAAACUUCGUUAUUUGUGAUUCUAAGAAACAUUUGAAAAUCACAAAGUUUAUGAAACUUUUCACUCAAAUUUGUAAUGCUGAAGAAUUUGUAAUGAAAAAAAUAGUUUAAAUGUAAAAAAAUAAAAAUAAAAGAGAUUUACAAUUUGACAAUGUUAAAAAGAAAAAAAGAAAAAGAAAAAUUUCACUUGUGGUGUCUGACUUUUAUACCCCAUUCUAUUCAUUCAGUUGAUGUGUGACAAAAACAUGACUAAACCUGGCAGUGUUUGAAGUGAAACGGUUUUGUUUUUUGUCCCGUAGGGGUCGUGACCUCAAGAAACAGCACGAGCAGCGGGUUUACGAGCGUGAGAUGCAUCGCAUCACUCUUCCACUCUCAGCCUUUGCCAACCCCACCUGCGAGCUGGUGGAUGAGAACACCAUCGUCAUCACAGCUCAACCCAACAACCAGACCCCCACUCAGGAGCCCGUCGAGGGGGCCGACCCGCUUAUGGGGACAGCAGGGACCCCUGGAGCCUGAUGGAGGAACAGGAUGAGCGCCUGGAAAGGCGUCUUUGUUAAGACAUGUCUAUGCAGUAUUGCAGAAUCUCAGAGGACUAAACCCCAUGUCCACCUUCCCUCUGCCUGUCGUCUCUUUUCUCUUUACCUUGCCUUUACAGCACGGUUUCACAGUAAAGGUAGGGCAUAUGCCUUGAGAGAGUGGUGGAAAGCAUUUUUUGUCCCAGACAGUGUCCUUAUUUUCUCAACAAAGUUGUUGGGGAAAGUAGGACAUGUGGGGAUACACUGGAAGAAGGUGAAAUGGUGGGUUUGUAUUAAUAUGCAUGUCAGGGAUUCCCGUGGAGAAAAAUUGCAAGUACGUUUUGUGAGCAUCAUCACAGGGCAUGAACUUUCCCUGCUUGUUAAACUCCAACGAGACGGCGACUGUCCAGUUAACUGUGCCGUGUCCUCUGGAUCAGAUCAUCAGAUGUUCUGGGGUUUUGAAAGAGAAGACAAUCCACUCUUAUCUUCUUUCCUGCCUUUUCUGUUGUUUUUGUUCCUAACGCAGUUGUGGUGGAGAGUUGAGACUGAAAUUGUACAUGUGUAUCUGAAUUUGUUGCUCUACAGCUGGGCUGUUUAUUCUUUAGGGAGAUUUGGUUAGCAACUAGAGCUAAUUGAGUUAAUUGCCUUUGAUAGCUCUUCCCCAGAAAUCCAUAUUCAUUAGGCAGAUCAUGUGGCCUGGGAUGCUAGCGCUAAGCUAGGUGAAGGUUUUGACUAAAUGAAGAGGAAAUCUUUCCAGAGAUCUUGCCUUAGUAAAUUACAUUUGAAUGUAUUGUUGCUCCUGUGGCCACAGUCUGAUGAAGAGCAAGUGAGCGCUGUCAUGACUUCAGCAAACCAGUCAGAGUGGGUCUCUGGGUACAUUUACUGUAUCCGUGUUCAUUUGUUCCUGAACAUACAGAUGGUCUGAAAUAGGACAUAGUUUGAAGCUUGAACCUGAAACUGAGAGUGUGUUCAAGAUGACGUAUUAAAGUAAUGUAUUAUGGUUUUAUUUAACAGAGAUGGGAUUUUUUUGAUGAAUGUUUU